GACGGAAAGUGCCACAGAAACAACACCGCCGCUUCUUGCCACUGCGAGGAGCGGUAAGGGUGAAAUGGUGCGGUAAGAGCGCACCGCACACGUGGUGACACGUGUGGCAGGGCAAACCCCACGCGGUGCAAGACCGAGCAGAUGCGAUCGUCCUGUGCGUGGCAGGCGCUCGUCGGGUAACCCGAGGAGCACGCAUCGGGUAGGUCGCGCAAGAGGCAUGCAGCAAUGCAUCGCCCAAGGCACAUGACUGCACCAGCAUCCCUCCCAUUACGGGAGAGUGCUGGACAGAAUCCGGCUUAUAGGGACGCUCGUCCA
rnacentral:RNase_P_RNA from 1 species